AGCAGCCGCGGUAAUUCCAGCUCCAAUAGCGUAUAUUAAAGUUGUUGCAGUUAAAAAGCUCGUAGUUGAAUUUCGGGAUCAGUGGGUCGGUCGUGCCACUGGUAUGCACUGGCUCUACUGGUUCCUCCUUCUUGAAGAACUGUAAUGCCAUUAAUUUGGUGUUGCAGGGAAACAGGACUGUUACUUUGAAAAAUUAGAGUGUUUAAAGCAGGCAAUCGCUUGAAUACAUUAGCAUGGAAUAAUGAAAUAGGACGUUCGAUCCUAUUUUGUUGGUUUCUAGGAUUGACGUAAUGAUUAAUAGGGAUAGUUGGGGGCAUUAGUAUUCAAUUGUCAGAGGUGAAAUUCUUGGAUUUAUUGAAGACUAACUACUGCGAAAGCAUUUGCCAAGGAUGUUUUCAUUAAUCAAGAACGAAAGUUAGGGGAUCGAAGACGAUCAGAUACCGUCGUAGUCUUAACCAUAAACUAUGCCGACUAGGGAUCGGAUGAUGUUUAAU
rnacentral:rRNA from 1 species